UACGUAGGGUGCGAGCGUUAAUCGGAAUUACUGGGCGUAAAGCGUGCGCAGGCGGUUUUGUAAGCCAGAUGUGAAAUCCCCGGGCUUAACCUGGGAAUGGCAUUUGGGACUGCAAGGCUGGAGUGUGGCAGAGGAGACUGGAAUUCCUGGUGUAGCAGUGAAAUGCGUAGAUAUCAGGAGGAACACCAAUAGCGAAGGCAGCUCGCUGGGACGGUACUGACGCUAAGGCGCGAAAGCGUGGGGAGCGAACAGG
rnacentral:rRNA from 1 species